UACGUAGGGUGCAAGCGUUGUCCGGAAUUAUUGGGCGUAAAGAGCUCGUAGGCGGUUUGUCGCGUCUGCUGUGAAAACUCGGGGCUCAACUCCGAGCUUGCAGUGGGUACGGGCAGACUAGAGUGCGGUAGGGGUGACUGGAAUUCCUGGUGUAGCGGUGGAAUGCGCAGAUAUCAGGAGGAACACCGAUGGCGAAGGCAGGUCACUGGGCCGCAACUGACGCUGAGGAGCGAAAGCAUGGGGAGCGAACAGG
rnacentral:rRNA from 1 species